UGCAUAUGAUUACUUUCUCACGAUGGUCUUCCAAGCCCUAAGGGUUUUGACGAUACUGCCUAAUGGCAAUGCUGAUGCAGCCCC